rnacentral:rRNA from 1 species
GAGGCUAUAACUGACGCUAAAGCUCGAAGGUGCGGGUAUCGAACAGGAUUAGAUACCCUGGUAGUCCGCACGGUAAACGAUGGAUGCCCGCUGUUGGCGAUAUAUUGUCAGCGGCCAAGCGAAAGCGUUAAGCAUCCCACCUGGGGAGUACGCCGGCAACGGUGAAACUCAAAGGAAUUGACGGGGGCCCGCACAAGCGGAGGAACAUGUGGUUUAAUUCGAUGAUACGCGAGGAACCUUACCCGGGCUUGAACUGCAGGAGAACGAUUCAGAGAUGAUGAUGUCCUUCGGGACUCCUGUGGAGGUGCUGCAUGGUUGUCGUCAGCUCGUGCCGUGAGGUGUCGGCUUAAGUGCCAUAACGAGCGCAACCCUUUUCAUUAGUUGCCAUCAGGUAAUGCUGGGCACUCUGGUGAUACUGCCACCGUAAGGUGUGAGGAAGGUGGGGAUGACGUCAAAUCAGCACGGCCCUUACGUCCGGGGCUACACACGUGUUACAAUGGGUGGUACAGAGAGUUGGUCGCUGGCAAUAGCGAUCUAAUCCUAAAAGCCAUCCUCAGUUCGGAUUGGGGUCUGCAACCCGACCCCAUGAAGCUGGAUUCGC